rnacentral:rRNA from 1 species
AGAUUAAGUUAUUAAGGGCGCACGGUGGAUGCCUUGGCACUAGAAGCCGAUGAAGGACGUUACUAACGACGAUAUGCUUUGGGGAGCUGUAAGUAAGCUUUGAUCCAGAGAUUUCCGAAUGGGGAAACCCAGCAUGAGUUAUGUCAUGUUAUCGAUAUGUGAAUACAUAGCAUAUCAGAAGGCACACCCGGAGAACUGAAACAUCUUAGUACCCGGAGGAAGAGAAAGAAAAUUCGAUUCCCUUAGUAGCGGCGAGCGAAACGGGAAGAGCCCAAACCAACAAGCUUGCUUGUUGGGGUUGUAGGACACUCUAUACGGAGUUACAAAGGACGACAUUAGACGAAUCAUCUGGAAAGAUGAAUCAAAGAAGGUA